GACGAACGCUGGCGGCGUGCCUAAUACAUGCAAGUCGAACGAGAAAUUCUUACACCGGAUGCUUGCAUCCACCGUAAGAUUUCGAGUGGCGGACGGGUGAGUAACACGUGGGUAACCUGCCCAAAAGAAGGGGAUAACAUUUGGAAACAAGUGCUAAUACCGUAUAACCAUGAUGACCGCAUGGUCAUGAUGUAAAAGGUGGUUUUGCUAUCGCUUUUGGAUGGACCCGCGGCGUAUUAACUAGUUGGUAAGGUAACGGCUUACCAAGGUGAUGAUACGUAGCCGAACUGAGAGGUUGAUCGGCCACAAUGGGACUGAGACACGGCCCAUACUCCUACGGGAGGCAGCAGUAGGGAAUCUUCCACAAUGGGCGCAAGCCUGAUGGAGCAACGCCGCGUGAAUGAAGAAGGCCUUCGGGUUGUAAAGUACUUUCAGCGAGGAGGAAGGCGUUAAGGUUAAUAACCUCGGCGAUUGACGUUACUCGCAGAAGAAGCACCGGCUAACUCCGUGCCAGCCGCCGCGGUAAAC
rnacentral:rRNA from 1 species